CAAUUAACAAACGCAAUAGGUGCCUAAUAAGUUAGGUGAAAAGGGAAAUGGGUGAAAUUCCCAUACGAACUCGUCACUGUGAUUAGUUAUUUUUUAUGAAGAGCCACUGAGUGAUUGGGAAGGCAUAAAAAAGUAAUUCUAUGAGUCAGGAGACCUGCCUAUUGUUAUACAAAAGC
rnacentral:ncRNA from 1 species